UUCAAAACUGUCAGUUCACUGCUGAUCAGCUCUCUCCUGGAGUGAAGGGUCUGAGAGGAGGACCUCUGAGACGGAGGGUCUUUCUGGACAUUAACUACCUUCCAGUGAACCCCUAAAUCUCUCUGGUUACAACUGAAAACAAAAGUAGAUUGGGACUUUAUAGAAAGCCUUCUACUGGGAAGAUUUCUCUUUUCCCAAAUUGUCCUGAACUUCAAUUCAUAGUCAGAUUAGCUUUGGAGGAAGGACAAACCCAACAACUGACCAAAGGAGGGACAGGCAAACAGUCUGAACCCCUCAGGAUUUGGGGGAAGAAUUUCAAGAGGCAGAGAAGAAGAAGAAGAUGAUUCCAGAUGAAGGGUAUAAUCAUGAUGAAUUGAACAAAAUGGAUGGAGAUGCUGAUGUAAGAAGGAUUUGGCCCAGACUCUAACUCCAAUUGACAUAAUUUAAUAGGAAGUUCCAUGCCUUGUCAGCAAUGUGUAGAAAAUAGGGAGAAAUCUGCUUGAAAUAAUUUUCAAAAAAAACCAGGGAGUUUCAAUGUUAUGGCUAAAAGAUGUGGAACUUCUCUUUAAAAUUCCAGGAAUUCAGAAGCUUCUGGAUAAUAUGUGUAUCACAGGGACAGAUAAUGUCCUUUUUCAGCCCCCAAAGUUGAUUCUUUAAUAAUGUUACAAGCUCCGGAGAUUACAAAGUCAUCACUGAAAGUGCCAAACCUAAGACUUUACUCUAAAGAAAAUGAAAUCUUACUACCUUGGAAGGCAAGUCACCACUAGGGAAUGUGGGACACUGGAACCUAUAACUCAGCUAAAAAUGAAAAAAUGGUAGAAAGGUUAACAGUAAUUCAACUCAAAUGUCACCCUGGCAAACUUGCAAACUUCAGUUGUGGUUCUUGCAGUCAGUCAGUAUGAAUUCAGAGAUGCUAGAGUGUAAAGGACAGAGCUCUACUGUGAGAGACAAGAAAAAGCAGCAAGCAUCUCAAUCCUGACUAUGAUCAGGCAUUCAAAUGUCUGUGAGCCUCAGUUUCCUCUUCUGGAAAAUGGAGACACUGAUAUUUAUUGUACCUACCUUAUAAAGGUUUUGGGAAGAUCAAAUAAAACCAUAGAUAUAAAGCAUUUGGUAAAUCUUAAAGUGCCAUAGGAAUAGUAGCUGUUCUUAU